UUUUUUUUUAAACUAAAAUAAGUAUCUUUUUAAAAUUAAAAUAUUAUAGCGUUCAUGCAAUUACAAGUUAUUUUAAGUAUAAAUAUAGGAUAUUGAUUGUUACAUUGCAAAUGGUCCAUUUUUGUUCAAGUAUGUAUAUUUUAUAAUAUAUAAUAAAUAAUAUAAUAAUAUAAUAAAACCAAAAAUAUAUAUUUAAAAAUAAUUUGAGUAGUUAAUAUAGUUUUUUUUAAAAAUUUGUAUACAUCUGAAAGCUAUUCUAAAAAAUAAAAAUGUAUAUAUUCGAGACCCCCUAGGUAUCUAAUAAUGAUUUCCUAUAAUAAUAUCCUGAAUAUUGAUCAAUGAAAUACCUUUUAUCAAUAUCUACUCCGAAUACGCCUAUGAUUAUAUACAUAAAUUUAAAAAUUUAAACUAGAUGAUAAUUUAAUAUUUUUUAUAAUUUAAAUUAUAGUUUAUUAUAGUUGCUAUUGUUUUUCCUUAAAUAAUACAGAGUACAGACAGCGAAAAUUGUUUAUAGAAGUUUGAAGUAUUUGAACUGGCGAAUUAAAUCGCUACCCAAGGUAUACUUAAUAAAUAUAUCACAAAUGCGUAAAAAGUUAAUGGUAUUCUCGUUUGAAAAACAAAAAUUAUAUUGCCACUGUAUAUUAUCCUGAAAUUGGUAAAAAAAAUAUAUUGGAAAAAUAUUGGUUACUGUAUUUAUAUGGGUACCUUUAUAGGUAAUAUACAGAGUGAUUUUUUGAGUCAUUAAUUUCGACAGGGAAUUUUAAGUGAAUUUGUUUUGUUUUUUUUUUAAUUAUUAUGGAAUCGUUUAAGCUUAUUUUAAAAUUGUUUUUUAAUUUUUACUCCCACUCUAUAUAUCUUAAGUAAGUAUAUACUUUUUUUUUUAAAAAAAAGAACCUCUCUUUUUAAAUAUAGAUUCGAAUACAGAAUAUUUUUCUAGAAGUUUUGAUAAUCACAAAUUAUCAGAUUCACCGUUUAUGAAUUAUAACCGUUGAAAGUUUAGACUGGAUUAGUAGGGAAGGGUAAUAAAUUGCAUAUCUAUUUUCAAAUGAUAAAUUGAUAAUUUUUCCCUACUUCUUUGGUGUAUACUUUAAACAGUUAUAAUUCAUAAACGGUAAAUCUGAUAUCAGCAUUAUACAUACCAAAAUGUCGAGAAAAAUAUUAACUAUAAUAUAUUAAGUAUUCAAGAAACAAAAUUUUGAACAAAUCCUGUACUAUAUUUACCCAUACAAAUGAAUAAAUAAUAAAAAAUAACGCUGAUUUUGAUAUUUUGAUUCUUUUGACUCUUUCUAGAGUCUAAUGGACCUAUUAACCAUCACACUUCAUAAUAUAGUACGGAAUUAGGUACAUGUAUAUUAUAUAUACGGUUAUUACAAUAAAAUAAUUUCCAGUUUGUCUAAUAUAUAAUAUAUUACAAAACUUUAGAAGUUCAGAUUCAGUGAUGGAUUUUGUAAAUUAAUAAUUUUUUACUAGUACUAAAUUAUAAUACGAUCUAAAUAAUAUACUUGCGGCCUUCUUCUCUGCAGUGUGUGUGUGUGUGUGUGUGUGUCUGUGUGUAUGUGACCUGAAUUUUAAUAGUUGGUGCCGGUGGACGAUAUCGAUAUCGUGGUAAGAAUAAUAAUUGAUUUAGAUUUAUUGAAAUAUUGUUAUUAUUUUAAUUUGAUUACAGUCUGUUGUACUGUUAUUACUUGUGGUACAUUACACUUGCAUUUACUGAGUCACAGUCUAAUUAACGUAAAAUUUUAGUGCAUUUUAUAACAUAUAAAUUGUGGUGUUAAGGUUGAAAUUUGAGUUAAAACACAGAUAACAAGAUUUAAAGAGAAAAAUAUUUUAGAGGGCAAUAAUCUUGCUAUUUUUCUAAAAUAUUUUCCAACUAAAAGUUAUGCAACCAUAAUGUUAGUUGUUAAUUUUUUAAAAUUAUAACUGUAAUUCUAAAUUCCGAGCGUAGCGAGAGAGCUAUUGGUUUUACUAAGAUGUUUAAUUUUUUUCUUUUUCUUUCUUCUAGUCUGUGGACACGUUUUUUUUUGUAAACUUGCUCGGUUUUUCAUAUGUAGCACCUUUUCUUAAAUACUUAAGUUGUCCUAAUUGUGCUUUAAACAGGUCAUUUUUUAAUUUUCAACGCCAUUUUUUUAAAUAAAAGCACUUAAGUGGGAAAAAACGUACAAUUUCACGAUUUUAUUAUUAUAUAAAAACACGGAUAACGUUUUCUAUCAGAAAAAAUGAUUUUAUCGAAAAAUCACUAGAUAUCUUUUUUGCUGCCUUUUCAAUUUAUUUUCUUCUGAUAUCAUCGCCAAAACUUUUGAGCUUUUAAGGAUUUUUAAUUUUUGCUGUAAUUCGGUUAUAAAUACACGUAGAGACUUAAAACUUGGUAAUAAUACUUAUAUUGGAUUUACCUAGACGAGGACAUUUUUUUAAAAAUCAUUGGACAAAAAAAAUGUUUUUUUUCAAUAAGCGUUAUGAAAUCAAUUUAAACGAAAAUCGCAAAAAAAAUUACGGCACUUCAAAUUAUGUAUUACCGAACUGCGCUCCGAAUCGUCUUUCGUCAAGCAAUGGUUUAUCGUUGCUUACAGAUAUAAAUGUAAUAACAAUAUAUAUUCUAUACUUCCAACUUCUCAUCUACAACAGUGGUCGCUCCCAACCCUAGUAUCAGCUCUUUUAUUUAACAAUAUUUUGGAAUAACAGCACUAUCCAUAAAUAUUCACCUAUUUAAAUAUUUCUUUAUCUGUAUUUAACCUCUAAUUUAUAACUAAACGUCACAAUGUAUACUAUUCUUAAUUAUGGAACGUGAUUUUGCUAUGCACUUACCUAAUCUUAUUACAAAUGUGUACCUAUUAAACAUAUUUUAAUGCUUAAAAUAAUUUCAAAUCUAACACUUUCUGCGUUAAACGAUUAAUUAAUUAAUUCCCAAUUUCUGUGUAUGUUUUGGGAUUAUGUAUUUAAAGAUAAUGUUUUGUUUAGAUACUAUUAUUUAAGUUUGGUUUCGAAGACGGCAACCCAAAAUUUAAACGAAAUUAUUACGGAUAGGUCAAAUUAUUUUUUUAGAUGUUCCCCCAAUAGACGUAAAUAAGAAAGGAAUAGGGGGACUUUUCCUUUACCAAAACUCAAAGAAGCCCCCAAAAAUCAAGUAAAUACUAUAUAUACAUAUAAUUAAUAUUAAUCAAUAUUAUUGGGGCUUAUAAUCGAAUUAUUAUCGUAUUGACCUAUUGAUAACUAUUAUAAUAGUUAGAUAAGUAAUUAGUAAUUACGUAGUAUAAACCGUUAAAAAUACAUACCAUACUUUUAAGUUUUAAACUACGUAUAUUUUAAAAUAAUAAUAAUUUGAAGGAUAUAUUUUCAAACUUAAUUAUUGUCUAUUGUAAUACGAGUACCUAUAUGCAUUUAAGGAAGUACCUAUUGUGAAAACAGAUCCCUCAUUGCUGUCGGUUAAACAAUUAAAGUCUAUGCGUAACACAUGCUCAUAAUUCAUAAAUUACGUUUUACGGUCGUGUUAUAAUUAUUAUUACCAUGUGUACGCUGUAUAGUAUACGUGCGGUAUAUAUGUAUUAUAACUAUUUGUAUAGGCUAUAUAUAUUAUAAUACUAUGUUUAAGUAAAUACUUACAUUUUAUUUUAGUAAACGAACUAUAGGUACUUUCAUACUCGAAAAAUUGUGACACAUUAAUUCUAAUAUUUAGAUUAAAUACUGUUGUUUGGAUUCAAAUCGGUAUAUAUUAUGUUUUUUAUAUUUCGUAAUCGUAUCAUUUAAUUAUCGUUUGAGAUGCAAUCAAUAUUUACCGUAAUUUAAUGUACAAACAAGUUUGAGACACUAUAUGGAAUUUUGUUUUGAAUAAUAUAAUAAUGCCAUUUAGAAUUAUUCAAACAAACGCACAAAAUCCAGAUCACUACAAUUUUAAAAAAACGAUUAAUUAAUUAAUUGUUUUUUGACAUAUAUUUUUAUUGCUAGACUCAUAUUUUUACACGUAGACACAUAUAGUUACUUAAUUUAUAGUUGAUAACUAAUACCUAUUAGUGUAUACUAAACUAUCAUAAAUUUAUAAUUUUAUUUAAUAUAUACUUUAUAUUUUCAUACAUCGCAUUUGAGUAGGUACAUAAAAAAAAAAAAAUGUAAAUUUGAAAAGAAAUGGAUACGAGUAGACAAAUAUUUAAAAUCAAUUUAAAAUUUAAUUGCAUGUUUUGAAUUCUAUAUAUCAUUGUUCAUUAGUAGUCAUAUAGAUGUAUAGUCUUUUUUUUUUCAAUAGCGUUUUUAACCAGGUGAAAUGUAUAAUUAUGUGCAAUAUGAAUAUGAACUAUUUUUAAUUGAAUAUAAAUAAUAAUUACAAAUAACUUUGGAAAGUACCAAAUUGUAAUUUAAAUUAAUUUUAGCUACUCUGCUGUAAUUAAAAUUAUAAUAAUCAUGACAAUUGUUUUAGUUGGUGUUUCAAAGAGGUUUUUUGUAGCAUUAUAAUGUAUAAGAUAGUAUCUAGUAAAAUAGGUUAGACUCUCUCCACAUAAGGUUUUUCUUACAUAUAUUUAUUUGUUCGUCUAAAAAUAAUAUUAUAUAGCUAUAAACCCAAUCCAACUUGUAUCAUGCAAUUUGCAUGAAUAAUUAAGUCUAAUAAAUAUUUGUUAACAAAUUUUUUUAAAUUAAAGGAUUAUGCAAANAAGAUAGUAUCUAGUAAAAUAGGUUAGACUCUCUCCACAUAAGGUUUUGCUUACAUAUAUUUAUUUGUUCGUCUAAAAAUAAUAUUAUAAACCCAAUCCAACUUGUAUCAUGCAAUUUGCAUGAAUAAUUAAGUCUAAUAAAUAUUUGUUAACAAAUUUUUUUAAAUUAAAGGGUUAUGCAAAGAAAAAUUGAACAUAGAUUGUUAGCACUAGAAGAAACUAAAAAUUUGGUAUCUACCCUUUAAAAAUCCUCCGAGAAAAUUGCAAGUUCAUGAUAAAAAAAUCACCCUAUACAUACCUGAUACUGCAGAUAGAUGUACCACUGUUGUGGGUAAGAAAUUGAAAAUGUAGAAUACAUAAAUUUAUUGAAUGUAAAUCUGUUCGCAACGAUAAAUGAUUGCCAACGAAGUACGAUUCUGAGCGAAGUUCAGUUAACUAUGUUAUAAAAUAUGAAUACUUGUUGAAAAUUUAAACUUAAAACACGCUUAAUAAUAAAAUACUAUACAUUACGCUCUUAUUUUUUUUGGCCAUAAGACAUUAUGUACAAUAUAUAAAUAUAUAAUUAACUUCGUAUACAAUUUUUCAGUAUUUCUGGUCUACUAAAACAGUUUUCUCAAAAAAAAAAAAUCAAAUAUAAAUUAAAUAUAUUUUAAAAUAUCAAAUACCUGCAAAAAUCUUAAAAAUCACUAGAAUUACGUCUAAAAAAAGCUACUAUAAGAAUUCUGUGAAAAUAUCAGGUCUCUACAAUUUUAGUUUCUGAGUGGAGCGAAUAAGCUUAUAGUUUCACAAAGUUGUUUAUUUUUUUUUUUUAGCUUUUUUAGCUAGACAGAUUUUCUAUCAGAAAUUUUGCUCUAAUUUUUAAAUGUAGCAUCUUUUCUGAAAAAAAAUCUGAUUAUGGAGGUAUUCUAAAAAGGUUAUUUUUCGGUUUUCCUAGCAAAUUGGUAAAACCUGAAAAAUGGAGGAGAAACAGAAAAAAGUACAAAAUGUAGGUAUUAGCUGAAAAAAAAAUUAUAGCUUUUCGAUUCUGAGUGGACAUUGUUUACCAAAGAUGUUUAUUUUUUUUUCCUGUACGGACAACUUUUAUACCAGAGAACAUGUUCCUAUUUUUUAAUGUAGCACCUUUUCUGAAAAAGAAUCGGUAUGAAGAGGUAAUUUAAGGAAGUAAUUUUUCUAUUUUGUCUGCAAGAAUUUUGUCAUCAAAUGUGAAAAACCAAAAGAAAACUGAGAAAAAACGGGAAGAUUCAUGAAAUAAAUUUGAAUAAUAUUACGAUUUUUUUUUCGAUGAACAACCAGCAAUAUUUUCAAUAUAUUCAAUAUAUAAUAUAUUAGCAAUAUGUUCUACCAGCAAUAUGCUCCAACUUAAAAUGAUAGCAAUUUUUAUAAAAGGAAAUUUCACUGGGAGGUUCUCUAGAGAGGUCAUUUUUCGAUUUUUCAGGAGUUUUCUCAUCAAAUUUGAAAAACACGGAAAAACUGGGAAAAACGUAGGAAAACCCGAGAAAUUAGUAUAACAUUAAACAAAUAUAAUUAAAGAAAAUAUAUAAAAUAUAUUUAUAAAUAUUAUAAAUGUAUAAUAUUCUAUUAUUUAAUAUGGCAUAUAUAUUGUUGACAAAGCAUCACUAUCAACUGAACUCCGUUCAGAAUCGCUUUUUCGUAAGCAAUGAUUUAUCGUUGCUUACAGGUAUACAUUAAAAAACCUAUAACAGUGGCUGCACCCGUCCCCAUUAUCCUAAUUCCUAGGAUGUUUUUUUUCUUGUGAACACCUUUUCUACCAACAAUUUUGCUUCGAUAAAUAAUGAUAGCACUUUUUCUAAAAGAAAAUUUGACUGGGGAGAUCAAUUUUUGAUAUUCUAAUUAGUUUUCUCAAUAAAUGGAAAAAACAUGAGAAAACCUUAGGAAAAACGGGAAAAUAGGUACAAUAUAAAACAAAUAUUAUUAAAGAAAACAUAUAAUGCCUAUGUCAUUAUUUUACCCUCAUGUCAUUAUUUCGGACCCGGGGUCCGGUGCUGCAGCCUUCCCCUAGUCCCUUUCUAAGUAGGGCACUGGAAACCAGACAUUUUCAUUGGAUAUUAGCACUUUCUAUACGUAGUAAUAAUUUUUAAUCCUUCAGCCGAUUUUUGCUCUACUCCUAUUUAUUUGUAUUUGAAAUUUGUUUUAGUUUUUUUUUAUUUUAAUAAUUUGUCCAUUUUUAUUUGUUAUAUUCUUCAAAUUUAUAUUUAUAUUAGUUUUUUUUCUGUAAAAUAUAUUCGUGAUUUGAACACUGCCCAUAUAGUUCCAAUCACAUCGCGAUGUCUAUAAUACUCUAGGAUUUAUUAUUUAAACACAUACCUACCUACCUAUUUUGAUAUCAGAUUUAAAAUUAUUAACACCUACCUACAUGAGAAAUUGAUUACGUAAUAUGCACUUAAUUAGUCACCACAUUCUUAUUAUAAUGCUCUAGGUAUUUUAUUCAGGUAUCGUACAUUCAUACCUAUAUUAUAAUUAAUAUAUAUUUAAUAUAUUAUAUUAAAAUUCUCGCAUUUAACUUUUAACUUAAAACGUAUUAACUGUAUAAAAUAUGAUUUUUAUUGGAAAACGAUACCUAUUCAAUCUACAUAUACAUGAUGAUUCUUAAAUCAUUACGAUUAUGUAUUUUUUUACUUUAAAUUCUUAGUAGAGAAUAGCGAAGAAAAACUAUCUACUUAACUGUGUGUUUUUAUUUUCAGAAAUUACUUCGGUUCGUAAAAAUACUUCAAGUUUUUAGGUAAUUUUUUUUUAAAUUGUUUCUUAUUUUCAUAAAAAUGAAUACCUAAUGACAAUGUUCAGAUUUUGGUUAAAUUCUUACUAAUUAAUUAUCACACAGGGUAAAGUGCAAACUAGAAAGUUUAAUAUUGAUCAUAUUUUUGAUUGAAUGAUAAAUAAAAUUCCAUAGAGAAUUCAAAAUUUAUCUAAAUCAAUGAUACUUCUUUUGAAAAUAUAAUUUAGAUAUUAUUAGUAAGGGAAGGCUAAAAUAAGGUAGAGAGGAAAUUUAAUAUAUAUAUGUAUGCAAUGAUAAACCAUUGCUUAUUAAAAACGAUUCUGAGUGAAGUUCAGUUGAUAGUGAUGCUUUGUCAACAAUAUAUUUGUCAUAAUAUGGUAAAAUAAAUAAAUAGGCAUCAUAUAUUUUCUUUAAUAAUAUUUGUUUAAUAUUGUACAGAUUUUCUCGUUUUUUCUAAAUUUCUCAGGUUUUUCCUGGUUUUCACAUUUGUUGGAAAAACUUUUAAGAAAAUCGAAAAACGACUACUUUAAAAAUCUCCAAUUUGCUCCAGGAAAAGUGUUACACUUAAAAAUCAGAGCAAGAUUUCUGGAAGAAAAGAUUGCACAACAAAUCGAGGGGUAUUUUUCGAAUAAAAUUGUCCGAGUAAGCGAUAGCCGGGUCUCUAGGUACA